GAUGAACGCUGGCGGCGUGCCUAAUACAUGCAAGUCGAGCGAACAGACGAGGAGCUUGCUCCUCUGACGUUAGCGGCGGACGGGUGAGUAACACGUGGAUAACCUACCUAUAAGACUGGGAUAACUUCGGGAAACCGGAGCUAAUACCAGAUAAUAUAUUGAACCGCAUGGUUCAAUAGUGAAAGACGGUUUUGCUGUCACUUAUAGAUGGAUCCGCGCCGCAUUAGCUAGUUGGUAAGGUAACGGCUUACCAAGGCAACGAUGCGUAGACGACCUGAGAGGGUGAUCGGCCACACUGGAACUGAGACACGGUCCAGACUCCUACGGGAGGCAGCAGUAGGGAAUCUUCCGCAAUGGGCGAAAGCCUGACGGAGCAACGCCGCGUGAGUGAUGAAGGUCUUCGGAUCGUAAAACUCUGUUAUUAGGGAAGAACAAAUGUGUAAGUAACUAUGCACGUCUUGACGGUACCUAAUCAGAAAGCCACGGCUAACUACGUG
rnacentral:rRNA from 1 species